GACGAACGCUGGCGGCGUGCCUAAUACAUGCAAGUCGAGCGAAUCUUUGGGAGCUUGCUCCCAAAGAUUAGCGGCGGACGGGUGAGUAACACGUGGGCAACCUGCCUAUAAGACUGGGAUAACUUCGGGAAACCGGAGCUAAUACCGGAUAAUCCUUUUCCUCUCAUGAGGGGAAGCUGAAAGACGGUUUCGGCUGUCACUUAUAGAUGGGCCCGCGGCGCAUUAGCUAGUUGGNGAGGUAACGGCUCACCAAGGCGACGAUGCGUAGCCGACCUGAGAGGGUGAUCGGCCACACUGGGACUGAGACACGGCCCAGACUCCUACGGGAGGCAGCAGUAGGGAAUCUUCCGCAAUGGACGAAAGUCUGACGGAGCAACGCCGCGUGAACGAUGAAGGC
rnacentral:rRNA from 1 species